rnacentral:rRNA from 1 species
AGACAUACAGGUCGAGCAAGGAUGAAAAUCGGACUUAGUGAUCCGGUGGUUCUGCGUGGAAGGGCCAUCGCUCAACGGAUAAAAGCUACCCUGGGGAUAACAGGCUUAUCUCCCCCAAGAGUCCACAUCGACGGGGAGGUUUGGCACCUCGAUGUCGGCUCAUCACAGCCUGGGGCUGUAGUAGGUCCCAAGGGUUGGGCUGUUCGCCCAUUAAAGUGGUACGCGAGCUGGGUUCAGAACGUCGUGAGACAGUUCGGUCCCUAUCCGUCGCAGGCGUAGGAAAUUUGAGAAGACCUGUCCUUAGUACGAGAGGACCGGGAUGGACGUACCUCUGGUGUACCAGUUGU